AGUUUCUCUCUCUUUGUGUGAAUCUCUUUGUCCUUUUAUCUUCCUUCCAAACUUCUUUUACUUUCAAAAAAUGAUUUUCCUCCAGAUUGUCUCACUACCAGCCUCUUUAUUUAAAUCUUCUCCAACCCAACCCACUAACCCCAUCUCCUCACCUCCCUCCUAGAAUUUAGAUCGCGCCUAAAAAUAUCCAACCUGGCCGAAGCCCAUCUGGCAUUCUGUCUGAGCCCAAUCCAACCAAGUAAGUUAACUUUAAGUAAAGUUCCAAGCCAGAAGUAAACCCAACAUAUUAUGCUAAGAUUUUACUGCUUUUGUUUUUAUACCACCAUUUAAGUGUAACUUCUCCUGUUUUUUUGUUGUUGUUUUUUUUCCUAUUAAUGUCUUCCAGCUCCAUCUUGUUGCUUAUUGUAACUGCAGGGUGAGUCGAGUGCAAAUCAUCUGGGAUGAGUGAUUGAUGGGCUCCCAUCUCCACUGCUGCUCGAGCAGAGAUUUCCUCAACAGGUUGAACUAUCUACACCUCUGCAUAGACUGGAGCAACAAUAAGACGUGACGACAGAACAGGAGCCAUCAUUGUGUUCAUGAGAGGAGAAGCAGCAGACAGAAGUGGGCUGAUUCAUUCUGGAGACGAACUGAAGGAGGUCAACGGGAUCCCUGUGGACGACAAGAAACCAGAGGACAUCAUUCGUAUCCUGGUA